UACGUAGGGUCCAAGCGUUGUCCGGAUUUAUUGGGCGUAAAGAGCUCGUAGGCGGUUCGGUAAGUCGGAUGUGAAAACUCAGGGCUCAACCCCGGAGACGCCAUCCGAUACUGCUGUGACUGGAGUCUGGUAGGGGAUCACGGAAUCCUGGUGUAGCGGUGAAAUGCGCAGAUAUCAGGUGGAACACCGAUGGCGAAGGCAGUGAUCUGGGCCAGUACUGACGCUGAGGAGCGAAAGCGUGGGGAGCAAACAGG
rnacentral:rRNA from 1 species